GAUGAAGAACGCAGCGAAAUGCGAUACGUAAUGUGAAUUGCAGAAUUCAGUGAAUCAUCGAGUCUUUGAACGCACAUUGCGCCCUCUGGUAUUCCGGAGGGCAUGCCUGUCCGAGCGUCAUUGCUGCCCUCAAGCACGGCUUGUGUGUUGGGCCCCGUCCUCCUUCCGGGUGACGGGUCCGAAAGGCAGCGGCGGCACCGCGUCCGGUCCUCAAGCGUAUGGGGCUUUGUCACUCGCUUUGUAGGCCUGGCCGGCGCUUGCCGAUCAACCAAACUUUUUAUCAGGUUGACCUCGGAUCAGGUAGGGAUACCCGCUGAACUUAAGCAUAUCAAUAAGCGGAGGA
rnacentral:misc_RNA from 1 species